rnacentral:rRNA from 1 species
UACGUAGGGAGCAAGCGUUGUCCGGAAUCAUUGGGCGUAAAGCGCGCGUAGGUGGCCUCAUAAGUCCGCUGUGAAAGUCAAAGGCUCAACCUUUGAAAGCCGGUGGAUACUGUGAGGCUAGAGUACGGAAGAGGCGAGUGGAAUUCCUGGUGUAGCGGUGGAAUGCGCAGAUAUCAGGAGGAACACCGGUGGCGAAGGCGGGUCUCUGGGCCGAAGCUGACGCUGAGGAGCGAAAGCGUGGGGAGCAAACAGG